CAACUUUCUUGUUCUUCAAGACGUAAAACAUACUAGAAUAAACUCUGUAGAAUAUACAAAAAAAUACAUAUUUUCCCAUGAAAAUUUUAUUUAUAAUAAAUAGAAGGGAACACGUGUGUGGCUGAUCCCGAUAAUGCUCCGUGUCUGCUUAGGUUUUCAGACUGUUGAUUUAUUUUUAAUCUCUCUAAAGAAUGGGGGAGUUCCUUCUCCCCUAAAAGGUCGAGAUAAAUAAUGCAUGAAGCAAUCCUCCCUCCUGAUUUUUCCCUUUUCCUCCACAUUUUUCCUUUUGAUAGAGAGUUCAGCCUAAAUUUCCACGCUUGCAUUCAAUCAUUACAAAGCCUACAAAUUAUACAAUGACUUCUAACCUGCCCCUCUAACAAAACAAGUUUUUUUCCCCUUAUAAAUCAUAAGAGACAGAUGGCAAAAUGGGGAAGAAAGAGGAAAGAGAAGGACAGGACAAUAGGCAUUGUGACGAAUCUGGGAAACAGAACAAAGUGCACAUCAGAGAGGGAAAGUUUGGUUUGACAGGUGAAAUUCCCACAGCCUGCAGACAGCAAUGGGAAUAAAGCAGAUGCCAGCCAUUGCAAAUCUGUGGAUAAUAUUAUUACCAGUAAAAUCAUUCAGAUGCUAAGAUACAUUUCUUUCUACUCGACAUUAACAUCUCUAUGUAGAAGCAAAGGUGAAGAGAUCACAGGAACCAGUUGCAUUCCCCCCGCGAGAUUCACACGAACUGCUCCAAGUCCUCCGGCGUUACAGAGAAAGGGGAGGAGCGUCAGUCCGCUCUGCAAACUCUUUCGAUAUGCCACCAUCAUCUCUUCCCAGCGUCUUUUUCGUCUCAAGAAGCGCCUCCAAAACGGCACCCUUCACUUUGACAAUAAGCUCCGUCACACCUUCAAUAAAUCAGAGCCCAUCUGAAUGAAUGAGACCCAAAGCCAGGAAAUGCAAGAAACAAGCAAGGAAUCAGAACGGCUACACCUGCCCUUCGAAGAAGGUAACAAGACGGAUUGGAAGGCACAAAGCAAAGAAAAUGAAAAUUAUAAUCCUAUGAAAAGGAGCAUUGCCCAUUGCAGUUCAACCUACAGACUUCCCUCUGUCUUGUAAUUAUUUGAAAACUAUCAUGAUUUCCACUUUGCUCUUUGUGUUUUCAUGUUCUCCCUUUUUAAAGUAAAUUCCAUUCCCAAAAUAUAAAAACAUCAUCUGCCAGUUUCCUCCUCAAUUCUUUUAGAACAGCUUUAUUUCAUUUGUUAGAAGUGCAGAAAUAAAAAGAAAGCAAAAAGGGAGACACUUUCAGUGUUCAUAGCCCACAGCACCUGUCUCACACAUUUUUGGGUUUCUGUCAUUGUAUCAUGAACCUGCAGAAUCAGAACUUCAUAAAAAGUUUGACCAAGCAA